rnacentral:rRNA from 1 species
CGGCGCACGGGUGAGUAACACGUAUCCAACCUGCCCUUUACUCGGGGAUAGCCUUUCGAAAGAAAGAUUAAUACCCGAUGGCAUAAUGAUUCCGCAUGGUUUCAUUAUUAAAGGAUUCCGGUAAAGGAUGGGGAUGCGUUCCAUUAGGUUGUUGGUGGGGUAACGGCUCACCAAGCCUUCGAUGGAUAGGGGUUCUGAGAGGAAGGUCCCCCACAUUGGAACUGAGACACGGUCCAAACUCCUACGGGAGGCAGCAGUGAGGAAUAUUGGUCAAUGGGCGCUAGCCUGAACCAGCCAAGUAGCGUGAAGGAUGAAGGCUCUAUGGGUCGUAAACUUCUUUUAUAUAAGAAUAAAGUGCAGUAUGUAUACUGUUUUGUAUGUAUUAUAUGAAUAAGGAUCGGCUAACUCCGUGCCAGCAGCCGCGGUAAUACGGAGGAUCCGAGCGUUAUCCGGAUUUAUUGGGUUUAAAGGGAGCGUAGGUGGACUGGUAAGUCAGUUGUGAAAGUUUGCGGCUCAACCGUAAAAUUGCAGUUGAUACUGUCAGUCUUGAGUACAGUAGAGGUGGGCGGAAUUCGUGGUGUAGCGGUGAAAUGCUUAGAUAUCACGAAGAACUCCGAUUGCGAAGGCAGCUCACUGGACUGCAACUGACACUGAUGCUCGAAAGUGUGGGUAUCAAACAGGAUUAGAUACCCUGGUAGUCCACACAGUAAACGAUGAAUACUCGCUGUUUGCGAUAUACAGUAAGCGGCCAAGCGAAAGCAUUAAGUAUUCCACCUGGGGAGUACGCCGGCAACGGUGAAACUCAAAGGAAUUGACGGGGGCCCGCACAAGCGGAGGAACAUGUGGUUUAAUUCGAUGAUACGCGAGGAACCUUACCCGGGCUUAAAUUGCAGUGGAAUGAUGUGGAAACA